GUUGAAUUCUUUGACGUCUGUCCAGCUGCCUGGCUUUCACGGAGCACCUCCUAUCUGCAUUUUGCCUUUCCGUCUUUGUAUCGUUCUUCAUUGUCGCUAACUGCUCACACAUCCUCCAGUUACCUAUACUUUUCUCUCCCACCCGACCUCACCUCCUCUUCACUUCUUUGUCCGCUCGUUGUUUUUUCUUGUCUGACGAGUUGCUUUAACGCCUUGCAGCCACCUCUUUUUUUAGCUUUGGUUGGACACUUUCACUCAAACUCUCAUUCUCCUUAGCAUUAAAGAAAGAAAAACACAAUUUGUAUUCUGGGCCAUGUCUGUGAUGUGAGUGAACAGAGAGGGGGAAGGAGAGACAGGGAGGUGGACAGCGAGGAGAGGAGGGCUUGUUAAAGUCACAGUUUGAUGACUGGUUAAAUGUAUUUGACAUAAAGGCAGGUGUCUGGGGGCAUUCGCCCACAUUGGUAGACUGAUUUUUUUCUUUUUUCUUUUGGUUUUAUUUUAAAGAGGGAAUUUGACCUUGAGUCAGCAAAGUGGCAUGCUCUGACGCCAGAGAAGGUACUACAAUGCACCAUCACUCACUUCCUAACAUAACAAUAGCUUGACUUUACUGCAGCGAGGAGAAAUUAGAAAUGCAUUUUGCAGAAUGAUAUAAUUCUGCCUGAUUUUGUGCAUCAUUACACAGGUGAUUUGUAUAUUGACACACAAGUCUGCAUUGCGCUUGAGUUUGCCCGUUUGUGGGGUUGUUUUUUUUCUUAAAUAUAGACUCCCAGUGUAUCCUCACAGUUGGAUAAUGAUGCAGUUAGAGGGGUGAGAGAGGGAGAAGGAUGGCUAUCCACACACGUGGCAAGUCAAGUGCUCAACAGUAGACUUUUUAGAUGCUGGUGGCACGGUGUGUUUGGAUGCAUUUGAAUUUGUACCUCCAUGACUGAGCAAUAUUCCCCUGCACGAAUGAGUUUGCGCAUGGAUGCCCGUUUAUACAUGUUACCCUGUAUCCUACCCUGGCAGCAAUGCCUGGUCAGCAGCUGACACCCCCCCACACACACACGUAAACCUCCCACCCCAUCACUGACAGCAGCUCCUGCAGUGC
ensembl:lncRNA